GAUGAACGCUGGCGGCGUGCUUAACACAUGCAAGUCGAACGGUGAAGCAGGAGCUUGCUCUUGUGGAUCAGUGGCGAACGGGUGAGUAACACGUGAGCAACCUGCCCCUGACUCUGGGAUAAGCGCUGGAAACGGCGUCUAAUACUGGAUAUGUGAUGUGACCGCAUGGUCUGCAUCUGGAAAGAAUUUCGGUUGGGGAUGGGCUCGCGGCCUAUCAGCUUGUUGGUGAGGUAAUGGCUCACCAAGGCGUCGACGGGUAGCCGGCCUGAGAGGGUGACCGGCCACACGGGGACUGCGACACGGCCCAGACUCCAACGGGAGGCAGCAGUGGGGAAUAUUGCACAAUGGGCGGAAGCCUGAUGCAGCAACGCCGCGUGAGGGAUGACGGCCUUCGGGUUGUAAACCUCUUUUAGCAGGGAAGAAGCGAAAGUGACGGUACCUGCAGAAAAAGCACCGGCUAACUACGUGCCAGCCGCCGCCGUAA
rnacentral:rRNA from 1 species